UACGUAGGUUGCAAGCGUUACUCGGAUUCACUAGGCGUAAAGCGAGUGUAGGUGGGUAGCUAAGUUUUCUGUGCAAGCCCUGGGCUUAACCCAGGGAGGUCAGAGAAUACUGGCUAUCUGGAGUAAGGUAGGGGAAACUGGAAUUCCCGGUGUAGCGGUGAAAUGCGUAGAUAUCGGGAGGAACGCCCAUGGCGAAGGCAGGUUUCUGGGCCUUUACUGACACUGAGACUCAAAAGCUAGGGGAGCAAACAGG
rnacentral:rRNA from 1 species